rnacentral:lncRNA from 1 species
GCCCAGGUGAUUCUAGGGUGCUACCAGGGUUGCAAACCUGCCCAGAAGCUUCAGCAGGAGCACUUGCAGCCUCCUCUGCUCUGCACCCUGGGACCCUCUCCCCUGGGCUAGCAGGGAAGAGGGUCCCGCUCCACGCGCCACUCAGGACCCAAGGGCCGAAUGAUCCGGGUGUGUGCGAGCCUCACUGGAUCCUGGGAGGCCAGAAAAGCCCUUAGGAGUAUUCAGAAAUCCUUCCACUAAAAACCAGGAACCUAGGAGGCCCCGGAAGAGGAGGGACCUGCCUGAGUUCACACAGCAAGACAGGUCCUGGAAGUUGACACCAUGCCUCUGCAGGAGAAUGAAGAGAAGGAGGAUUGGACAGAGGGAAAAGCUGGACUCAGUGGGUCCUGCAGGAAUUCCAGGGCUGGGGUGGCACUGCAGAGGCAUCCCAAACAGAGAAUCGGCGUUUGGCAAGGACGCUGAGGUUUUUGGAGGAGCACGGGAACAUAAAGCAAGGUGCCUGGUGCGGCUCCGGAUUUAUGUAGCCUCAGCAUCCCAUUUCUUGCCAUUUUCUGCUUCGGAUGAAGAGAAUCAAGUACGUCUGGAUUCCCGGGGGUAAGUCUUUAAACGUGAUCAUUUAUAAAAUAACCU